UCGAGAAUCAUUCACAAUGGGGGAAACCCUGAUGGUGCGACGCCGCGUGGGGGAAUGAAGGUCUUCGGAUUGUAAACCCCUGUCAUGUGGGAGCAAAUUAAAAAGAUAGUACCACAAGAGGAAGAGACGGCUAACUCUGCGCCAGCAGCCGCGGUAAUACAGAGGUCUCAAGCGUUGUCCGGAAUUACUGGGUGUAAAGGGAGCGUAGACGGUGAAGUAAGUCUGGAGUGAAAGGCGCGGGCUCAACCCGCGGACGGCACAUGAUACUGCGAGACUAGAGUAAUGGAGGGGGAACCGGAAUUCUCGGUGUAGCAGUGAAAUGCGUAGAUAUCGAGAGGAACACUCGUGGCGAAGGCGGGUUCCUGGACAUUAACUGACGCUGAGGCACGAAGGCCAGGGGAGCGAAAGGG
rnacentral:rRNA from 1 species